AAAGUUAGAAUAAUAUUUCAAUCCAUCAUUAGUGCUUCAAAUAACAAAAGCUGACAUUUUGUGCUCAUUUGCAGUCAGCAGGAAUUUGGCAGGAAGAUAUCAAGUGGAGAGUUUCAGAAAUUUUCACAGAACUGAUGGGAUGUCUACACGGUGCUGUCUCUGGAUUCGAGGAACUCUUGGAAAGCAUUUUCUGUCUCCUACUGGUUAUGGAAGAAUUUUCCCUGCAAAAAUUUGUCAUGAUGCUUGAAGAAGCGGCAAGAGGUCAACUGAAUAUGGCAGGACUGGAAGAGUUUCAUCCCCAACUUGGAGAAAUGUUUCUAAAAGCCAGUUCAGAGGGAAGAUUGGGAAGAGCCUCUCGAGUUCCUUGGAGCCCCCUCAUUGAGAAUUGGGAAGAUGUUGGAAAGGCUGGUUAGAAGGCUGAUACUGACUGAAGUGCUUAAAUUUGUAACAUUAUCUUUUUUAAUGUCCUGGCUCUUUGCAGUAAUAGCAGAAACCAGACCAGUUUGAACUUUGUUUAGGGACUUUCAAUUGCUAGCUUUGAAGGUUAAGAAUUUUGGCAAUCUCCCUCAUAGGUGACUCAUCUAUAACGUAAUCUGGUUUGCCAGAUUAACUAAAUCUGGAGUGGACAGUUUCCCGUUCCAUUCUGAUGGGAGUGGACAGUUUCCCAUUUCAUUCUAGAAGGGAGAGGUCCCAGUGCAAUCCAU
rnacentral:lncRNA from 1 species